rnacentral:rRNA from 1 species
UGGGGAAUUUUGGACAAUGGCGAAAGCCUGAUCCAGCAAUGCCGCGUGUGUGAAGAAGGCCUUCGGGUUGUAAAGCACUUUUUGUCCGGAAAGAAAUCCUUGGCUCUAAUACAGUCGGGGGAUGACGGUACCGGAAGAAUAAGCACCGGCUAACUACGUGCCAGCAGCCGCGGUAAUACGUAGGGUGCAAGCGUUAAAAUCGGAAUUACUGGGCGUAAAGCGUGCGCAGGCGGUUUGCUAAGACCGAUGUGAAAUCCCCGGGCUCAACCUGGGAACUGCAUUGGUGACUGGCAGGCUAGAGUAUGGCAGAGGGGGGUAGAAUUCCACGUGUAGCAGUGAAAUGCGUAGAGAUGUGGAGGAAUACCGAUGGCGAAGGCAGCCCCCUGGGCCAAUACUGACGCUCAUGCACGAAAAGCGUGGGGAGCAAACAGGAUUAGAUACCCUGGUAGUCCACGCCCUAAACGAUGUCAACUAGUUGUUGGGAUUCAUUUCUUAGUAACGUAGCUAACGCGUGAAGUUGACCGCCUGGGGAGUACGGUCGCAAGAUUAAAACUCAAAGGAAUUG